rnacentral:lncRNA from 1 species
GCCAGUAGAAGGGAUAUUGUAGUUUUUGGAGGAGGACAUGUUCUGGGAUCUCUUUUGUUAGUUUGUUGAUCUCCACCACCGAACAUGUAUCAGAAAAUGGACAGGGGAAUAAGGGGGAGAAAGAAGAAGGUGUUUCCAGGAAAGUCCAAUACAAGAGUACCAGCAGUGGGUCAAGCUUCCUUUUUGGGACAAGGUGAAGAUGGGGAGUCGCCAUUAGAUGCUGCACCGAGAAGGAAAGGGAGAGACGGCAAAAGAAAACGCUGAAAGGAGAAAGAUGGAUGAGCAGCAGCACGUCACCAUUGUGUUGUGCACUGCUUAAACUUGUCCACUAAUGGAAGUGGGACGAGGGUGACAUUUCUCUUACAAUGACAACAUCAAUUCUCCACUCCCUGAUUAAGGCAAU